GCGUCCGUCGAGAAUGUGUUAUUCGGUGUCCGUCUGCAUCAAGAUCGACACGUGGUUACUUAGUCGUUAUACGACACGUUUUUGCACGGUUGAAGACGAACGCCGCGUAAAUCUGGUACUUUCCCUUUUAAGCUUCCAUUCUUUCGUUUAACGUAACGAUAACAUGACCGCGUAUUGAAAGAUACAGAAAAACUCGAAGGAUUGUGCUUUUUCUCCUCGGGUGUUGCACGUUUGUGCCCUCGUGGCUGCGCGAUGUGAAACUAAUUCGUAGAAUUGACAACUACGCACGAAGAUGAUCGCAACGGUUUUUCACCGGUUUCAUUUGUUCAGUCAUAAAUAUUUUCACGACGUAUCGAGCUCUUCGAAACAAAGGCUUUAGUAACUUUCCUACCAACAUGAUACUUCAUCGCGACGUUGCUGCAAUAAAAUAACAGGUGGAUAACGUCGGUGGGACCUGCAUAUCUGUUCCUACAUUAAUAUAAG